CCCUAGCCCCGAUAGAAGUGAAAAUCCUUUUGUGCCGAUGCUGGGCACAAAAGAUUGGAACGGAUAGCGGGAAAAGCU
rnacentral:sRNA from 1 species